rnacentral:misc_RNA from 1 species
GGAAGGAUCAUUAACACAAUACAUUUACCCAAAUGUAUUUUAACCCCCACUUUGCAAACUUGUUUCAUAUUGUUUUCCCGGAUUUGGAGAGACUUGCUUUUUCCAAAUCUGUGGUUUCAAACCUUUAUAUAACCCCUUGAACUGUCUUUGACUGAAACUCUGAGCUAUGACAAACUUCAAAAACUUGUCAUACCUCUGCCAUAUAUCAAACGCUGAACAACUCUUAGCAACGGAUAUCUUGGCUCUCGCAACGAUGAAGAACGCAGCGAAAUGCGAUACGUAAUGCGAAUUGCAGAAUUCAGUGAAUCAUCAAAUCUUUGAACGCAAGUGGCGCUCUCACGCUCGCGUGGGAGCAUGCCUCUUUCAGCAUCGGUUAUUCUAAACUCAUCUGCUUGCAGAUGGAGAAUGAGUUGUCGCUCUGUGUCUUUUUUCAUUAAAGAGAGAGAGGGCGUCACUUCAAGUAAGGCGAGCUCAGUCGCAAGUUUCACUGAGAAAGUGACGUUGGUAGGUAAUGAAAGGGCCGUCAAACGCCUUUUCGUUUACUUCACGCCGCGUCUGCUUUCGAUUGCAGGUGAAGCUGCCCUAGUAGUAGUAACAUAUUAUUAGGACGACUAGCGUAAGAACAGUCUUUGUUUGUUAGUUAUAUACCAAACAGAGUAGCUGUUCAGCUUUAACGACUUGAUCUGAAAUGAGGUAAGAGGACCCGCCGAAUUUAAGCAUAUUAAUAAGCGGAGGAAAAGAAACUAACAAGGAUUCCCCUAGUAACGGCGAGUGAAGCGGGAAGAGCUCAAAAUGAAAAUCGGCUGGCCAAGCGGCAAGUCGAGUUGUAGUCUAAAGAUGUAAUGUCAGCGUGUGACCCGGGUAUAAAUCUUUUGGAACAAGGUGUCAUAGAGGGUGAGAAUCCCGUCUUUGACUCGGAGUUCACCGCGUACGACAUGCAUUCAACGAGUCGAGUUGUUUGGGAUUGCAACUCUAAAUGGGUGGUAAAUUUCAUCUAAAGCUAAAUACCAGCGAGAGACCGAUAGCGAACAAGUACCGUGAGGGAAAGAUGAAAAGAACUUUGAAAAGAGAGUUAAAAAGUACUUGAAAUUGUUAAGAAGGAAGCGAUGGCAACCAGUCGUGCGCUGCAGUAUAUUGGCCACUGGCUGGCGGACGGGGGUGUUGCUGAGUGCGUCAAUGCCUCGACAGCAUCUUUGAAAGUCGGUGAGUGGGAUUGUAUUGCGGUGCGAGUCAGCAUCGGUUUGAAAUUUGGCGCAGGAGAAAGCUGGGAGGAAGGUAGGGCAACACUUCGGUGGGGCCUGUUAUAGCCUCUCAGUCCUACUGUGCUUUGGACCGAGGUAAAGCUAGUACGCCCCAAUGGUCGCUCUCUGGUCCCCGCUUGGUUACUUGUGCAGAGAGCAAAGCUCUGUGUAUAGGGACGCCAGGUGUUGGGCUGGUUCGUAGCAGAUCGCGUACUCGUGAUGCUGACGAAAUGGUUUUCAUUGACCCGUCUUGAAACACGGACCAAGGAGUCUAACAUAUAUGCGAGUAUUUGGGUGAGUAAAACCCUGAUGCGUAAUGAAAGUAAAGGUGGACUUGUGCCACUGAGGUGGGAAUCUCGUCAUUCUUGGCGGGAGGCACCAUCGACCGAUCGUUCGCUUGCGGAAGAUUUGAGUCAGAGCAUAUCUGUUGGGACCCGAAAGAUGGUGAACUAUGCCUGAGCAGGGUGAAGCCAGGGGAAACUCUGGUGGAGGCUCGUAGCGAUACUGACGUGCAAAUCGUUCGUCUGACUUGGGUAUAGGGGCGAAAGACUAAUCGAACCAUCUAGUAGCUGGUUCCCUC